UAUUGCACAAUGGGGGAAACCCUGAUGCAGCGACGCCGCGUGAGUGAAGAAGUAUUUCGGUACGUAAAGCUCUAUCAGCAGGGAAGAAAAAAAGUCCUUUGGACUUUGGACGGUACCUGACCAAGAAGCCCCGGCUAACUACGUGCCAGCAGCCGCGGUAAUACGUAGGGGGCAAGCGUUAUCCGGAUUUACUGGGUGUAAAGGGAGCGCAGGCGGCGUGGCAAGUCAGAUGUGAAAACCCGGGGCCCAACCCCGGGAGUGCAUUUGAAACUGCCAUGCUGGAGUGCCGGAGAGGUAAGCGGAAUUCCUAGUGUAGCGGUGAAAUGCGUAGAUAUUAGGAGGAACACCAGUGGCGGAGGCGGCUUACUGGACGGUAACUGACGCUGAGGCUCGAAAGUGUGGGGAGCA
rnacentral:rRNA from 1 species